UCCAAAAUCGUCAUACUGUAACGUUUUGAUGUUUUUGUCUUUUUAAGUAAAAUAAAUUUCGUUUAGAUUUGCUUUGAAUUUCGUUAAAUGUGUAUAUAGUUUCUAUUUAAGAGUAUAAAUUGAAAUAAAUUCUUGAGUUAAUACAAUUGCUUAAUCGAAAUUCAUUAUCAGAAAAACGCUUUGACGUUUUUCUCUUUUUAAGCAAAAUUAUUUUUGAAUUAUUGUAUUUAGUAAAUAGUUGACUUAUUUCUAUUACAAAAUUGAAGUUUAAAUUCACAGACGAAAAGCAUUUGGAUUAGAUUGAAACAUAACCUGACUUUGCUUGUGACUGUCCACGUUAGAAGUAAAUUUGUUUAUGUCGACUGGUUUGUGUCUCGGCUAUAACCAUACCAUAAUAAGACGUAGUGAGUGCAGCAAUGGCUCCUGAAUAUAUGUGUCUCAUUAUCACCAUCUUGACGAACCUAGACAAGCGCCAAUUUCUUAUAUCGCCAUUUGAAUUUGUCAUUGGCGCAAUUGCAGAAGAUAAUAGGGGGAUUGUUAGAGUUAGGUUUCAUGAUAGGAAGACGACUUAAGCUCGAUCACUUCGCUCGCAUAUCGGCUGGAGGAUAGCAGUUAUCGCGUUCAGGACAAAUUUAUUAGUUGAGUUUCUUUAGUAGAGUUAUAUUGAAUUGUGCUUUAGUUCAAAUUUUAUAAAGCUUGAGACGUAGUCUCUGCUUCUCUUACGCGAACGCUAUCAGUGAUUUCGCAGUUUAUCGUACAAAAAAGCGCAUGGGCGCUUUUUUGGUACGGGCUGGAGUUUAAAGAUUUCGACAAGCGGAGUCGUUUUCGGGGUUAUCGUGAAGCCGUCUAAGCCACCGUCUUCAAGUGAAGGAGCUCGUGCAUCCGCUAAGGCCCGCCUCACGAAGGCAGUUAAACGGGGGAAGUGUAGAUCGCCUGCAAGUCGAGCGAUAAUCUCCAACGGUCGCCAAUCAACCGUUGUGUACGAUCCACCCACCGUUACAACCCCUGUGGAUCGGGAGUUAAGGAGAGCUCGGUUUGGGUUCACGUCGCCAAAAGCGUGUCCCUUUCCGCACAGUCCGAAGGUCGGCGCUAUUCCUCGCUCGGUCAUAACGGAAAGGUACGUGAAGCCGGGUCGUUGGGUCUAGUGUCGGUCCGGAAGACAGUCCCGGGAACCCCGCGACCAAUUGUCGACGGGAAGCUCUCCUCUGAAGAAAAUCGGAAGGCCUCCGUCCAGCCGCCACUUCCCACCGCAGCUUUAGAUCGGCCAUAUUAGCACGAGCUCAAGUUCGCUUCUCGCCGCCAUCGUGCGAGGAUCGCUGCUGGCAGAUCGCUAGCAAGGUUUCAUCUUCAACCAACAUUUUGCCGGCACCCCGCCGGAAAGCCAACGUAGCCAUCACCGUAGCAUCCGUCACUUCGAGUCAACGACACCGAAAAUCCUGCGCAGGUAUGUGGUAGUUCUAGUUCAUGGUCAUGAAUAGUUGUUUCCUUUCCCGCUACCAGAAAAAGUUCCGUCCAACCCGAAUGUAUUAAUUCAAUAAAACUGAUUAUUAAGUUGAAGUUCCGAGCCUUAGUUUUGUCCCGUUUAGCACUGAAGGUCUUUCAUUUUUCUUGAGUUCCGUUUCCAUCUACGUUAGGGCUAAGUUGAGCCGCCGGACUUCCAUCUUUCAUUCGGUAUUGCGAUUUAGGGUUGAGCGAGUUUAAGUCGAUUAAGGUGUGGGUAAUUUGAGCAAUAAGGUGGGAGUUUUUCUAGAAGAUGUCAAGUUUGGUCAUUUUGCUUUUGGUGAGUCAAAACAGCCGUUCGAAUAACCCCUGAGGACUUGUCUCAGCAAAGUCGGGCAAAUUAACAGACUGGUGGUCUCUCGCGUGCGAGAGUGGCGCUAAAGCCACCGAAAGUUUACAAAAAAAACCUCGGUUGAGUUCUUGAACGGUUACAUUUGGCGCCCAACGUCAAAAAGCUUUAGAAAAUUUCAGCGGUUGAAAUAAUUUGGAAUUGAAACUUGCGUCAGCAGCACUGAAUUUGAAUUUUAUAUUAACAUUUCCAGUCGAUUUUAAAUUUUAUAGCAUCUUUAUAGCAUUAGGUCUUUGAAUUUUGAGUUGAAUUUUCAAACUGGUUUAUUUUUAGCGUUUUUUUCCUUUGAAUUCGUAUUUUCGUUUUUUAUUCCUUUUUUUUUAUUUCCUAGCUUUAAGUUUGAAUUGAAUAUAAAUUUUAGGUAAUAAGAUCUGAAUUGAAUUGAAUAACGGUUUUUGAAGUGAAUUGGGAUUAUAUAGUUAAUGUAAACUUGAAUUGAUUUAUUUUGUUACA